AUUCUUAACACUGGUGAAACCUUCCAAAUGGCAACACCGAGGUGGCGUGUGGGGUAACUAAUACAGGCGGUUCUCACCACGGAGGAGCUUACAACAACCUCCUCUUCAGUGCUGCCACUGAGAUAAACACGUCGGUCACCCAGAUCAGCCCAUUAAGCCAGGAGGACAAGAAAGGAGGUCCUUCAGAAGCCAGUCAGAAACGAAGGGCAGUCAAGCAGAAAGGGAAGUGGUUGAAACACAAUGACACUGUGCUCGGUCAAAUAAGGAGUAAGCGGCUCCUCUGGCAGCUUCAGCAGCAGGAGUGGGGCCGGGUUCGAGGUUAAAGUUAUUCAGCGGGAGAGAGGAAUUUGUAGCAUCCACUGUCCGCUAACCUCCCCUGGUGAUGAGCAAUCUGCUAACCUCCCCUGGUGAUGAGCAAUCUGCAGCCUUCCUGAGUACGGACUUGAAGACGGCCACACUGCCAUCCGCUCCCAGCUCGCUGUGAAGAAGGAU
ensembl:lncRNA